rnacentral:rRNA from 1 species
GAUUAACGCUGGCGGCGUGCAUAACACAUGCAAGUCGAACGAUGAAACUUAACUGAUUUCUUCGGAAUGAUUUUAAGUGGAUUAGUGGCGGGCGGGUGAGUAACGCGUGAGUAACCUGCCUUGGAGAAGGGGAUAGCCUUUGGAAACGAAGAAUAAUACCCUAUGAUAUGAUAAUAUCUCAUGAUAUUAUCAUCAAAGAUUUAUCGCUCUAAGAUGGACUUGCGUCUGAUUAGUUAGUUGGUGAGGUAACAGCUCACCAAGGCAGCGAUCAGUAGCCGGCUUGAGAGAGUGUACGGCCACAUUGGGACUGAGACACGGCCCAGACUCCUACGGGAGGCAGCAGUGGGGAAUUUUGCACAAUGGGGGAAACCCUGAUGCAGCGACGCCGCGUGAUUUAGAAGGCCUUCGGGUUGUAAAAAUCUUUUGUAUGGGAAGAAAAUGACAGUACCAGACGAAUAAGGACCGGCUAAUUACGUG